AUCGCUUCCGCGCCUGGAACCUUCGCAGCCUGCGCGGAUGAGCCAUUGGGAUAUGGGAAUGACUGGGACUCGUUGCACCCGGUACAAUGAACAUCGAUAGCGUCAAGUAUAAAGGAACCGCCACCGCACAAUUUUAUCAGUGGGCAGGUCUGCUGGCCUUUCGUCAGCAGCACGCCAAUAACGUUGCUGUUUUUUGUGCAGCUUCUUCUGUUCGGUGCGGCAGCGAAGGCCAGCGUUUUGCAUCACACAUCGUGCUUCAUCGCUCCCGUGCGUGGUUCCUACGGAGCCUGCACGGAGAAGCCACUGAUAUAUGGGUAUGACUAGGACUCGUUGCGCCCGGUCCGAUCAACAUCGACAGCAUCAAGUAUAAAGGAACCGCCACCGGACAAUUUCUUCAUUGGGCAGGUCAGUUGGCGUCCAGUCAGCACCAUGGGGAAACCAAUUCUGUCUUUUCGGCUGCUUCUUCGGUUCGGCAUGUCAGCGAAAGCCAGCGUUUUGCAUCAAACACCGUGCUUCAUCGCUUCCACGCCUGGUUCCUACGGAGCCUGUGCGGAUAAGGCACUGCGAAAUGUGAAUGAAUGGGACCCGUUGCACUCUGUACAAUCAACAUCGACAGCGACAAGCAUUAAGAAACCUUCACCGGAUAAUUUCUUCAGUGGGAACGUCAGCUGGCGUCAGGUCAGCAGCAUGCCGAAACAAUUUCUUGUUUCUGCAGCUUCAGCUGUUCGGCGUGGCAGCAAUGGCCUGCGUUUCGCAUGAAUCAGCGUUCUUCAUCGCACCGUGCCUAGUUCCUACGGAGCAUGCGCGGAUAAGCCACUGCGAUAUGAGAAUGACUGGGACUCGUUGCGCCCGGUACGAUAAACAUCGACAGCGUCAAGUAUAAAAGAACCGCCACCGGACAAUUUCUUCGGUGGCACGUCAGUUGCCUCGCGUGAGCAGAAUGCCGAAACCAUUUCUGUUUUUUCUGAAGCUUCAGCUCUUCGGCGUGGCACCGAUGGCCAGCAUUUUGCAUCAAACACCAUGCUUCAUCGUUUCCGUGCCUGGUUCCUACGGAGCCUGCGCGCAGACGCCACUGCGAUAUGGCAGUGACUGGGACUCGUUGCGCCUGCAUCUACUGUUCGCUGCGACAGCGAAGGCCAGAGUUUUGUAUCACAAACCGUGCUUCAUCGCUCCCGUGCCUGGUUCCUACGGAGCCUGCGCGGAGAAGCCACUGCCAUAUGGUUAUGACUGGGACUCGUUGCGCCCGGUCCGAUACACAUCGACAGCCUCAAGUAUAAGGGCAGCGCCACCGGACAUUUUCUUCAGUGGGCACGUACGGUGGCGUCCAGUCAGCAGCAUGCCGAAAAUAAUAUUUUUUUUGUGCAGCUUCUUCUGAUCGGUGCGGCCGCGAACGCCAGCGUUUUUCAUCAAACUCUGUGGUUCAUCGCUCCCGUGCCGGGUUCCUGCGGAGCCACCGUGGAUAAGCCGCUGCGAUGUGGGAAUGACUGGGACUCGUGUCGGCAUGUACAAUAAACAUCGACAGCGUCAAGUAUAGAGGAUCCGCAACCGGACGAUUUUAUCAGUGCGCACGUCAGCUGGCCUCCCGUCAGCAGCAUGACGAAAUUAUUUCUUUAUUUGUUCAGCUUCUUCUGUUCGGCGUGGCAGCGAAGACCAGUGUUUUGCAUCAAACACUGAGCUUCAUGGCGUCCGUGCCAGGUUCCUACGGAUCCUGACCGGAUAAGCCCUUGCAAUAUGGGAAUAACUGGGACUCGUUCCAACCGGUACGAUCAACAUCGACAG